GACGAACGCUGGCGGCGUGCUUAACACAUGCAAGUCGAACGGUAAGGCCCUUCGGGGUACACGAGUGGCGAACGGGUGAGUAACACGUGGGUGAUCUGCCCUGCACUUCGGGAUAAGCCUGGGAAACUGGGUCUAAUACCGGAUAGGACCACUGCCUGCAUGGGUGGUGGUGGAAAGCUUUUGCGGUGUGGGAUGGGCCCGCGGCCUAUCAGCUUGUUGGUGGGGUGGUGGCCUACCCAGGCGACGAAGGGUAGCCGGCCUGAGAGGGUGACCGGCCACACUGGGACUGAGAUACGGCCCAGACUCCUACGGGAGGCAGCAGUGGGGAAUACUGCACAAUGGGCGCAAGCCUGAUGCAGCGACGCCGCGUGAGGGAUGACGGCCUUCGGGUUGUAAACCUCUUUCAGCACCGACGAAGCGCAAGUGACGGUAGGUGCAGAAGAAGGACCGGCCAACUACGUGCCAGCCGCCGCCGUAAGAC
rnacentral:rRNA from 1 species